rnacentral:misc_RNA from 1 species
GACACCCGGGUGUAGGACCUG